rnacentral:rRNA from 1 species
AACGAACGCUGGCGGCAUGCCUAACACAUGCAAGUCGAACGAGACGGUCGUGUUUAUUUGCGCACGGGGGCUGAACGCGGGGGAAGCUGCCCGUAGGUUCGGAAUAACUCCCUUUGAGGUGUGCUAAGACCGGUUAAGGUAUUCGGACCAAAGAUCUAUUGCCUUUGGAUGGGCCCGCGUAGGAUUAGGUAGUUGGUAGGGUAAAAGCCUACCAAGGCGACGAUCCAUGGCUGGUCUGAGAGGAUGAUAAGCCACAAUGGGACUGAGACACGGCCCAGAAUCCUACGGGAGGCAGCAGUGGGGAAUAUUGGACAAUGGGCGCAAGCCUGAUCCAGCCAUGCCGCGUGAGUGAUGAAGGCCUUAGGGUUGUAAAGCUCUUUUACCCGGGAUGAUAAUGACAGUACCGGGAGAAUAAGCUCCGGCUAACUACGUG